UAUUUUUUACUUGACGAACUUAUCGUCUUGUGGGAUUCUGGCAAUGAAUUGCCUUUGUUUUUUCUUUGAUGAACUUAUUGCCUUAUAGAAUGUUAGCGAUUAAUCGCUUUAAUGGUUUCCUUUGAUAAUUUGUCGUCUUUUGGGAUUCUGACAACGUAUCACCUUGAUAGUUAUCUUUGACGAACUUGUCACCUUGUGGAAUUCUGGUACUGAUGAAUCGCCUUGGUGGUUCCUUUCAAUGAACUUUUCGAUCAUUGAAAUUCUGGUGAUGAAUCGCCUUAGUAGUUUCUUUUGAUGAACUUGUCGCCUGUGG
rnacentral:lncRNA from 1 species